rnacentral:rRNA from 1 species
UACGUAGGGGGCAAGCGUUGUCCGGAUUUAUUGGGCGUAAAGAGCGUGUAGGCGGCCAGGCAGGUCCGCUGUGAAAACUCGAGGCUCAACCUCGAGAUGUCGGUGGAAACCGUCUGGCUAGAGUCCGGAAGAGGAGGGUGGAAUUCCCGGUGUAGCGGUGAAAUGCGCAGAUAUCGGGAAGAACACCCGUGGCGAAGGCGGCUCUCUGGGACGGUACUGACGCUGAGACGCGAAAGCGUGGGGAGCGAACAGG